rnacentral:lncRNA from 1 species
AUGAGCACACACUUCCCUGUGGUCUCCUGCCAGUGGGAUGUCAACAGCUGUCUGUACUGUCAUACUGUUCCAGGGUCUUGUCUCCAGAGUUUAAGAAGAAAAGCAACUCGGAAGUCAAGAAGAUCUACCGUCCGUCCUAUCGACAAAGUCAGAAAAAUCCGUGUCUUGCCAAAGAACAGGAUGCACCCUGUGAAGGAGUCGACGAAGCUGCCCCCGAUGACCUGGUGGAAGAACACACCAAACACAGGGCAGAGGAGAAGGCCACACCGCUUGCCAAGGUUUCCCACAGUCGGCAGGAGCCCUGUGCAGACAGAAUGCGGUCCUACAGGGACUCUCUCUCUCUGGUUGCAGACGGACUCGAGAUCCAGCGAAAACUUGCCCCUGGAGGAUGCAUGGGAGGAGCUUCCUGGUGACACGGAGGAUAAAGAAACUCCAGAGUAUACUGAGGUGAUCUCAAUACGAACAGCAAGUGAUUGGGUCUUGCAGAGCAUUUCCGACUAUAACAGUAGGAUGAAGGCUCUUCAGGUAGGAGCAACACCCACAAAGACCAGAGGGUCAAAUUAG